ensembl:lncRNA
GUUGUGCAGUCCUCACUACACACUGGAGAGCCUUAUGGUUGUGGGCGGAGCAGUUGCAGUACCAGGCGGUGAUACAGCCCGACAGGAUGCUCUCGAUUGUGCAUCUGUAAAGGUUUGUGAGUGCUUUUGGUGACAAGCCAAAUUUCUUCAGCCUCCUGAGGUUGAAUAGGCGCUUCUGCACCUUCUUCACCACGCUGUCUGUGUGGUUGGACCAAUUCAGUUUGUCCGUGAUGUGUACGCCGAGGAACUUAAAACUCUCUACCCUCUCCACUGCUGUCCCGUCGAUGUGGAUUGUGGGGUCGAUAUGGAUAGGCUCUAUUAUGGAGCGGGAACCAGUGGGCCCAGUGCGCAGGCUUGCUAUAGGCGAGCCCAUAACGGUUUGGCGUAACGUGGCCCAUCCUGCUCUCCUGAAUCGGCACCGGGACCUGUCCUGGAUGGUCGCCCACGAGAUCCUCCCGGUCAGGGCCGUUAUGCACUCCCGGGGCAUGGCGAGGAUAUCCGUGUGCCCCCGACCAAGCUGCGGCCAAGAUGAGUCAGUGAGGCACUUGCUCUGGGAGUGCAGAGCCGCCAGGGACCUGCGGAAGGAAGCAGGCCCCCUGAUCUCCCCGUGUCUGCCGGCAGGGGAGGACGUAACGCCCCAGCUCAUGCUGUAUGGGGUGGGCCGAAGGCCUAUUCCCCAGAAGGCCUUCACCAAGCUCUGGCCCACUCUCACUGUGGUCCUCCCGCAACCUGCUGGUAGAGAAAAGAGUAGAGACCACCUCACAGGCAGUGGCCAUGGUAGCCACGGAAGCCCUGGUGUGGUAGAAGAAAGGGGGCCUCGAACCCAAGUGAAGGGUCCCCCACAACACCCAAGGUCCCGGCGGCCGCGGUCUGACAGUGCUGCAGUGCAUAGGGCGAUGCGCCUAGGGGAGGGAUCUAAUCUGGGCCCCGAAGAACGAGACGGGAAUUGAUUCGGAAGAGGAAGAGGAGGCGCGUUUGAUAAGGACUCUCCCCGCUCCUGUACAAAGGACCAAAGACAGCUUUUUAAAAGUGACUUUUUUUACAUGUUUUCACAUCUUAUAAAUGUUUUACUUUUGUUAAAUAAUUUGUACACAUUUGAAAUGGCUUUUACAGAAUUUAUGUUUUUACAAAGUAAAGUACUUUUAUUCAUGGU